rnacentral:rRNA from 1 species
UACGUAGGGUGCGAGCGUUAAUCGGAAUUACUGGGCGUAAAGCGUGCGUAGGCGGUUCAUUAUGUCUGCUGUGAAAGCCCCGGGCUUAACCUGGGAAUGGCAGUGGAAACUGGCGGGCUUGAGUGUGGCAGAGGGGGGUGGAAUUCCGCGUGUAGCAGUGAAAUGCGUAGAGAUGCGGAGGAACACCGAUGGCGAAGGCAGCCCCCUGGGCUAACACUGACGCUGAGGCACGAAAGCGUGGGGAGCAAACAGG